rnacentral:tRNA from 1 species
GGGCUUGUAGCUCAGAUGGUAGAGCGCUCCGUUUGCAUUCAUCCCAGACUUCGGUGAGGCAUGGGGAUCGAUACCCCACUGGUCCA